rnacentral:rRNA from 1 species
CCCGGCUUCCGGGGGCCUGGCAGACGGCUCAGUAACACGUGGCCAACCUACCCUAGGGAGGUGGAUAACCCCUGGGAAACUGGGGUUAAACCACCACAGGAGGCGGGUUCUGGAAGGACCUGCCUCUGAAAGUAGUGUAUAGGGAUGCCUAUACACUAGCCCUAGGAUGGGGCUGCGGCCCAUCAUGGUUGUUGGUGGGGUAACGGCCCACCAAGCCUAUAACGGGUACGGGCCCUGAGAGGGGGAGCCGGAGAUGGACUCUGAGACAAGAGUCCAGGCCCUACGGGGCGCAGCAGGCGCGAAAACUCCCCAAUGCCCGAAAGGGUGAGGGGGUCACCUCGAGUGCCACCCUCGCGGUGGCUUUUGCUGGGUCUAAAAAGCCCAGCGAAUAAGGGGAGGGCAAGACGGGUGUCAGCCGCCGCGGUAAUACCCGCUCCCCGAGUGGUGGGGACUAUUACUGGGCUUAAAGCACCCGUAGCCGGCCGGAUGUGUCUCUCGUUAAAUCCACGGGCCUAACCCGUGGGCUGCGGGAGAUACUAUCCGGCUUGGGGGUGGGAGAGGGCGGCGGUAUUCCCAGGGUAGGGGUAAAAUCCACUGAUCCUGGGAGGACCACCGGUGGCGAAGGCGGCCGCCCAGAACACGCCCGACGGUGAGGGGUGAAAGCUGGGGGAGCAAACGGGAUUAGAUACCCCGGUAGUCCCAGCUGUAAACGAUGCGGGCUAGGUGUCGGGUGGGCUACGGGCUCACCCGGUGCCGAAGGGAAACCAUUAAGCCCGCCGCCUGGGGAGUACGGCCGCAAGGCUGAAACUUAAAGGAAUUGGCGGGGGAGCACCACAAGGGGUGGACGUUGCGGCUUAAUUGGAGUCAACGCCGGAAACCUUACCGGGGGCGACGGCAGGAUGAUGGACAGGUUGAAGGCCUUUCCGGACGAGCCGAGAGGAGGUGCAUGGCCGUCGCCGGUGCGUGCCGUGAGGUGUCCUGUUAAUUCAGGCAACGGACGAGACCCGCGCCCCUAGUUGCUACCGGGCCGAAAGGCGCCGGGCACUCUAGGGGGACUGCCCCUGAAAGGGGGAGGAAGGAGCGGGCUACGGCAGGUCAGUAUGCCCCGAAUCCCCCGGGCCGCACGCGACGUUCAAUGGCGGGGACAGUGGGUUGCCACCCCGAAAGGGGGAGCUAAUCCCUAAACCCCGCCGUGGUUGGGAUCGAGGGUUGCAACUCGCCCUCGUGAACGCGGAAUCCCUAGUAACCGCGUGUUAAAACCGCGCGGUGAAUACGUCCCCGCUCCUUGCACACACUGCCCGUCGCUCCACCCGAGUUGGGUCGGGCGAGGCUCAGUCUCGU